rnacentral:rRNA from 1 species
UCCAGUGACAUUACUGAGAAGGCCACACCCGUUCCCAUUCCGAAUACGGUAGUUAAGCUUCUCGAGGUCGAUGGUACUUUAGUCGCAAGGCUAUGGGAGAGUAGAACGUCACUGGAU